GAUCAUGGCUCAGGAUGAACGCUAGCGGCAGGCCUAACACAUGCAAGUCGAGGGGCAUCACAGGUAGCAAUACCGGGUGGCGACCGGCGCACGGGUGCGUAACGCGUAUGCAACCUACCCAUAACAGGGGGAUAACACUGAGAAAUUGGUACUAAUACCCCAUAACAUCAGAACCGGCAUCGGUUUUGGUUGAAAACUCCGGUGGUUAUGGAUGGGCAUGCGUUGUAUUAGCUAGUUGGUGAGG
rnacentral:rRNA from 1 species